CCUACGGGAGACAGCAGUAGGGAAUCUUCCACAAUGGGCGAAAGCCUGAUGGAGCAACGCCGCGUGGGUGAAGAAGGUCUUCGGAUCGUAAAACCCUGUUGUUAGAGAAGAAAGUGCGUGAGAGUAACUGUUCACGUUUCGACGGUAUCUAACCAGAAAGCCACGGCUAACUACGUGCCAGCAGCCGCGGUAAUACGUAGGUGGCAAGCGUUAUCCGGAUUUAUUUGGCGUAAAGGGAACGCAGGCGGUCUUUUAAGUCUGAUGUGAAAGCCUUCGGCUUAACCGGAGUAGUGCAUUGGAAACUGGGAGACUUGAGUGCAGAAGAGGAGAGUGGAACUCCAUGUGUAGCGGUGAAAUGCGUAGAUAUAUGGAAGAACACCAGUGGCGAAAGCGGCUCUCUGGUCUGUAACUGACGCUGAGGUUCGAAAGCGUGGGUAGCAAACAGGAUUAGAUACCCUAGUAGUC
rnacentral:rRNA from 1 species